UACGUAGGGUGCGAGCGUUAAUCGGAAUUACUGGGCGUAAAGCGUGCGCAGGUGGUGAGUUAAGUCUGCUGUGAAAGCCCAGGGCUCAACCUGGGAGUGGCAGUGGAAACUGGCUCGCUGGAGUAUGGCAGAGGGGGGUGGAAUUCCGCGUGUAGCAGUGAAAUGCGUAGAGAUGCGGAGGAACACCGAUGGCGAAGGCAGCCCCCUGGGCCAAUACUGACGCUGAGGCACGAAAGCGUGGGGAGCAAACAGG
rnacentral:rRNA from 1 species